AGCAGUUCUUGGGUGACGCACCUGGAACCAGAAGAGGGAGCCCGAUUCCGGGGUGCGUCACCCAAGAACCGCC
rfam:Myotis brandtii contig183731, whole genome shotgun sequence.